UACGUAGGUGGUGAGCGUUGUCCGGAAUUACUGGGUGUAAAGGGAGCGUAGGUGGGAGUGCAAGUUGAAUGUUAAAUCUAUCUGCUCAACCGAUAGCCGAGUUCAAAACUGCAUUUCUUGAGUGAAGUAGAGGUUGGCGGAAUUCCUAGUGUAGCGGUGAAAUGCGUAGAUAUUAGGAGGAACACCAGUGGCGAAGGCGGCCAACUGGGCUUUUACUGACGCUGAGGCUCGAAAGCGUGGGGAGCAAAUAGGAUUAGAUACCCUGGUAGU
rnacentral:rRNA from 1 species